AGAACGAACGCUGGCGGCAGGCUUAACACAUGCAAGUCGAACGCCCCGCAAGGGGAGUGGCAGACGGGUGAGUAACGCGUGGGAAUCUACCUGGUUCUACGGAAUAACUGAGGGAAACUUCAGCUAAUACCGUAUACGCCCUAAGGGGGAAAGAUUUAUCGGUGCCAGAUGAGCCCGCGUUGGAUUAGCUAGUUGGUGGGGUAAUGGCCUACCAAGGCGACGAUCCAUAGCUGGUCUGAGAGGAUGAUCAGCCACACUGGGACUGAGACACGGCCCAGACUCCUACGGGAGGCAGCAGUGGGGAAUAUGGACAAUGGGCGCAAGCCUGAUCCAGCCAUGCCGCGUGGAUGAUGAAGGCCCUAGGGUUGUAAAGUCCUUUCGACGGGGAAGAUAAUGACGGUACCCGUAGAAGAAGCCCCGGCUAACUUCGUGCCAGCAGCCGC
rnacentral:rRNA from 1 species